rnacentral:rRNA from 1 species
CUCCAGACUCCUACGGGAGGCAGCAGUGGGGAAUAUUGCACAAUGGGGGAAACCCUGAUGCAGCGACGCCGCGUGAGCGAUGAAGUAUUUCGGUAUGUAAAGCUCUAUCAGCAGGGAAGAAGAUGACGGUACCUGACUAAGAAGCCCCGGCUAACUACGUGCCAGCAGCCGCGGUAAUACGUAGGGGGCAAGCGUUAUCCGGAUUUACUGGGUGUAAAGGGAGCGUAGACGGCGAUGCAAGCCAGAUGUGAAAGCCCGGGGCUCAACCCCGGGACUGCAUUUGGAACUGUGUGGCUGGAGUGUCGGAGAGGCAGGCGGAAUUCCUAGUGUAGCGGUGAAAUGCGUAGAUAUUAGGAGGAACACCAGUGGCGAGGGCGGCCUGCUGGACGAUGACUGACGUUGAGGCUCGAAAGCGUGGGGAGCAAACAGGAUUAGAUACCCUUGUAGG